rnacentral:rRNA from 1 species
GACGAACGCUGGCGGCGUGCUUAACACAUGCAAGUCGAACGGACAGGCCCUGCUUUUGUGGGGUGCUCGAGUGGCGAACGGGUGAGUAACACGUGAGUAACCUGCCCUUGACUUUGGGAUAACUUCAGGAAACUGGGGCUAAUACCGGAUAGGAGCUCCUGCUGCAUGGUGGGGGUUGGAAAGUUUCGGCGGUUGGGGAUGGACUCGCGGCUUAUCAGCUUGUUGGUGGGGUAGUGGCUUACCAAGGCUUUGACGGGUAGCCGGCCUGAGAGGGUGACCGGCCACAUUGGGACUGAGAUACGGCCCAGACUGCUACGGGAGGCAGCAGUGGGGAAUAUUACACAAUAGGCGGAAGCCUGAUGCAGCAACGCCGCGUUCGGGAUGACGGCCUUCUAGUUGUGAACCGCUUUCGCCUGUGACGAAGCGUGAGUGACGGUAAUGGGUAAAGAAGCACCGGCUAACUACGUG